GCGUCCUGUAGCUCAGUCGGCUAGAGCGGUGGUCUUAUGAGCCGCAUGUCGAGGGUUCGAGCCCCUCCAGGAGCA
rnacentral:tRNA from 1 species